GAGAGUACCUGCCCUUGAGGCCACCAAUCUUUAGACAGUGCUGAAUUUCCUCCCAUCAUCUUCAAACUCACUAAGAAGCAGUUUGUUCAGUCUCUCAUGAAUUUCCCCCAGGAAUAUGCCAACCCAUCUACCACUUGAAGAUUUGAAGCAACUUUGCACAGAGGCGUCAAACUCACCACCCCCAGGCCGCAGGCCAUUGCAAAACUUCUGAGUGCUGCCAGAACCAGAAUGUAAUUUUGGUAAAAUGUAUUUGGGAAAUGAUUAACCAAAUAAAUAAAAAC
rnacentral:lncRNA from 1 species